rnacentral:rRNA from 1 species
GAUGAACGCUAGCGAUAGGCUUAACACAUGCAAGUCGAGGGGCAGCAUGGUCUUAGCUUGCUAAGGCUGAUGGCGACCGGCGCACGGGUGCGUAACGCGUAUGCAACUUGCCUCACAGAGGGGGAUAACCCGUCGAAAGACGGACUAAUACCGCGUACACUCUAUGUUGGGCAUCCAAUGUAGAGGAAAUGAAAUUCGCUGUGAGAUAGGCAUGCGUCCCAUUAGCUAGUUGGUGAGGUAACGGCUCACCAAGGCGACGAUGGGUAGGGGAACUGAGAGGUUGAACCCCCACACUGGUACUGAGACACGGACCAGACUCCUACGGGAGGCAGCAGUGAGGAAUAUUGGGCAAUGGGCGAGAGCCUGAACCAGCCAAGUCGCGUGAAGGAUGACUGUCUUAUGGAUUGUAAACUUCUUUUAUACGGGAAUAACAAGAGUCACGUGUGGCUCCCUGCAUGUACCGGAUGAAUAAGCAUCGGCUAACUCCGUG